rnacentral:piRNA from 1 species
CACUGCUAAAAUGGGAGACAAAAGCCU